GACCGCGUAGCUCAGUUGGAAGAGCAUUGGGCUAGUAUUCCAAAGGUCGUAGGUUCGAAUCCCAGCGUGGCCG
rnacentral:tRNA from 1 species